AUUUAUAAAUUAUCAUAACUACAUUAUCAAUCAAAAUUUGAGCACAUAGACGUCAUCAACAAGGAGGUGAAAAUUAUCAAGUUAUCUGAUCAAGUGUCACGUGUGUGUUUAAUGCUUCGCCACGUCCCGGAAGUCACUUCGACAGAUAAUCCUGCAAGAUACGGAUGCGAAGGUAGAAGCCUAUUGUUUGAAACGGAAGUGAAGGCAACGUAUCAACAAGCUCAAAUGGAAAUACAACUACAAUUCGUUCCUGGAAAGGAUGGCUAAUAAUAGGCUAUAUCAUUAAACGAAUUCUAUAUAAUGUCACCGAAAUUUACAGUUAAAAGAAAUCAUUUGGAUUUCCCAGAAUAUUUUUAACUGUGUAUCACGUGUCAACUAUUAGAGCGCAGGGAGAGACGUACGCACGAUGUGCAAUAAAUGGAACCAGUGUGAAUUCACGCUCGAGGGCGUCAGUCGCCCCGUGCCAGCGAGCACGAGCGUGACCAGUACUAGGUGAACGCAUUAUUCACUGUCCUUUCUCGAGAUAGUAUUGUCUCCUUCUUUCUCUCUUUGGCCGAAUCAAUUUCUCUAUCCAAUUUACAUAAGCCACGCAAUCCAUUCCAUUUUUAUAUCACACGUACCGUCGCGUUGAUCGCGAUGGGUGCCAAGGCAAACUCCAAGAACUCCGUGCUACUAUGCAAGAUUAGUUCAUCCCGUGGACAUUGGAUCGGUCAAGAUCAUCCAUGUUACUUAACAAUUUAGGUCUUAACGACCACGAUGAAAUGCUCCGUUGAAGCCAGUGCUGAUUCUCCAGGAGCUUAUUCGAGGUCGUGCCUACGUUGCUGUUCGACGCUGAACUAACUGGGUUAACGACGGUCAGGUCACCUGGAAGCCUUCAAUGCAUUCCCAGUUACAUUGCACCCUACCGCCUACACUUGCUCUGGGUCGAUCCUGGAUUUUCUAGGUAAAAAAUUAAAAUCCUAUUCGAAGACUGCGUCGCGAGUCAUUUCCAAUGCAGAAAGCAAAUAUCAAAACUAUUAAUGUGCCAUGUGUUGACAUGAACCUGAGUGUACGCCGCUGGGUUACGUCAUCGAGAACAGGUUCGGCGAUACCGUCAUCUGUUUUUUUGAAAUUGUCCGUUUUGAAGGCUGCAGGAGUCAACGAAAGUAUAUAUAUAACCACGUGUCUGUACUAAAACACACUGCAGUAGACUCCCGUAUAAACGGGCGAGUAAAUCGUGCUGUACAAAUUCAAUUCUUAAAUCAAGUAAUUCCUGUGUUUUAUUAUUUGGCGCGUUCUACGAAGAAUCGCGUUACAUGAAAACAGUAGUCGCAAUAUCUUUGGCGCGUUAUACGGGAGUCUACUUUAUUACAUUAGUAGAAUAAGUUAGAGAUAGUAGAUAGUAUUUUUUUUUUCACCGCGCCUAUAUUGCAAAUAAACAUUUUCACUGAAGGCGGGAGCGUCGCGACGGUUUACACGCGAGUCCUAAUUAUUCGACCCGUUUCCUUCCUACUUUUCUUGAUGCGUGUUCGACCUACAUACGGACGCACGCACUUACUCACGCAACUAUGUAUUGUUACCUAUUCUUAACACACUACGAAUUAGUUUUAUUAUAUCCCAAAGGUCGACACUGCGUCGAAUUCUAUUCACUUAUUAGUCAAAAUAAUUUUACAUUUCCUGCAGACAACAAUGUCUGACUGUACCAACUACUUUCACGAAAACUAUAGGCAAUGUUGACUGCGUCAACAAUAUAGUGUAUGAGAACCUGGUGAAUUUAAUUCAACCGUGGUUCCUAUGGCGCCCGUAUACACUGAGUCAGAUUAACGAUAUUUUUAUAUUUAUCGUAUUCCAACCUGAAAUAUGAUGGUAGACAUAAAUGUUUGUAUUGAAAAAAAACAACACUUUAUCACAGAUUUGUGUAAUGUGUGUAAUUUACAAAUAAAACAAGCGUUGAAAAA